rnacentral:lncRNA from 1 species
GAAAGGUGACGCUGCUGGCUGGUCAGGGGGCAAGCCCAUGGUUCUCCCCACCCACUAGAAUAUAACUUUUUGCGUCUAUGCAUGCAGAUAUAUAUAUGUUUUUCAUGUUAUGUCAUGUCAUGAACGGGCACUGACAUGCAUGCAUGUCCACCUUGUCUCGCCCAGCUAGCCAGCUUAUAUGGUCCCAAAUAUCCAUCCAAUCCAAACAACUCGAAACACUGUCACCUUAAAAGCCCCUGUUUAAUAUAACCAAAAAAAAAAAAAAGAAAAAAAAAGGAAGAGAAGCAGAAGAAGAAGAAGAAGAAGAAGAAGAAGAGGAAUGGAAGAGGUAAGAGGGAAUCUUUGCCUAUGUCUUUCUCCUGAUCACAGUCGCAGAGUUAGCGGCAUGGAAUAGAGAAAGAGAAAGAAAGAAAGAAAGGGUAGCUGUG